UACGAAGGGGGCUAGCGUUGUUCGGAAUUACUGGGCGUAAAGCGCACGUAGGCGGAUAUUUAAGUCAGGGGUGAAAUCCCAGAGCUCAACUCUGGAACUGCCUUUGAUACUGGGUAUCUUGAGUAUGGAAGAGGUAAGUGGAAUUGCGAGUGUAGAGGUGAAAUUCGUAGAUAUUCGCAGGAACACCAGUGGCGAAGGCGGCUUACUGGUCCAUUACUGACGCUGAGGUGCGAAAGCGUGUGGAGCAAACAGG
rnacentral:rRNA from 1 species